AGAUCAUUUUGGGGACAAUUUCUUACUAAGCCUUUGUAUCUCUCCCAAGACUCAUACAAGGACACCCCCACUUGUUGCUCUAAAUUAGCUAUGACCUUCUUGAGUUU